AUUUUUAAAAUAAGAGCUCUAGUCUAAAUAUAGACUCCGAAAUUGAAAUAAGUUUUACUAAUUUCGAUAAUUAUUGCUUAUUUUACAGAAAUUAAAUUUUUCCGUCAUUCCACUCUAGAAUAAAAAUGACUCGUUUUAUUUACGACACAAUCUAAUUUUAAAUUUCGAAUCAAUCUAAUUCCAGAACAAAUUACUUAAAAUUCUUUCUUACUAAUAAUUUUCCUUUUAAUCCCUGACUCUUCUUCCUUUUUUUUUAAGAAAAAUAUUUUUAAAAAAAAUUUAAAUGCCUAUUCUAAUUUUCAUUUCAAUAAUAAAUAAAUUAAACAUUUUAAAAUAAUUUUUAUUUGUUAUUCCUAUUUCAAUCAUGCACUAAAAUUU
rnacentral:lncRNA from 1 species